GUCAGCUCUUCUCUUUAAAUAUUGUCACUGAAGCUCUUCUAAAGUGCAAAAAUUCGCCAAGGUUUCCUGCAGGGCAACUGAACAUACAAGUGUGGAGAAGUGGAAGUAGGAGAGAGACAGAAACCAAAACCUCUGGAUCUUCGUCUUCUCGGUGCUGCUACUGCUGAGGCUGUGGUGAAGUCCCUCUGACACCACAUAUCUGGGAAUGAAGAACUUCUCAGAGCUGAUUGGAAAUGGCAUUGCUGUGCUGAAACUUAACUGGAGGAAAUACAUCUCCCGAAGAAGAAAAUAUAAUGCACUUUAAGGAUCUGACUUCUGGUGAAAAAUUCAAGCCUAGAGAAAACUUGUCCGCUUUAUUAAGAAGAAUGGGUUGGACAAUCUUCUUCAAUUCCAAAGGAUAUCUGAACGCCAUGCUGAGCUUAAUCUCUGCAGCAUGCUCUGUGCUUCUCUUCUCCUCCUGAUGCACUGCAUGGUUAGCCUGAGGAGAAGGAUAAAGAAACUGGCUACCAAGAUGGUAAUCACUAGUGGAAAUGAAGAAGAUAAAGGCAAUCAAGAAAAGGAGAGCAAAGAAGAAACCAUCCUGGCAAUGCUUGGGAUUAUUGGAACAAUUCUGAACCUCAUUGUGAUCAUUUUUGUGUACAUUUACACAACAUUGUGAGCCAGAAGGCACACGACAAGAACCGACGAAACGGCUGCUAAAGGUGACAACAAACAUUGUAGGGUAUUGACAUGUUGCUUAAUCAGCAUUGAUUCUGUACUAUAUUACCACAUCAUAAAAACACUGCCUGCAGGCAGCAAAAGCUGAAGCACAAUUAAUUUAACAAGACUUUUUCAUGCGGUAACAAGCUCCUUUCCCUUUUUAUUUGGGUUUGGUUUGGGGGGAAAUGACUGCAAUUAUGUAAGUAGCAGCUUUGAAGAACUCAAUCUGGGAUACAAACACAAUAGAGACUGUACACUAUUUAGAAUUACUAAUGUAUACCAUAUACUCUGAAAGAUAGCUAGAUAGCACCGAUUUUGUGUCCAUUAGGUCAAAUAAUUUUUUUUCUCCUUGACUUUUCAAUUUUAUUUACAUUGAAACUGACAGGCUUUUUAUUUAGAAUGAACAUAUGGUGCAAUCAUGGAAAAACAAUUCCGUUGAGCAAGAUCUGCCUAAAAACAAUGAAAUAUUGGGGGAAAUAAGUGACAUGAUUAUUUUUUCUUUCUCAUUUGCUUGACAUUUGUGUCUGUUCAAACCAAUGUUUAUAAAUAUAUAUUUUUAAUAAAUGUGCUAUAUUUUUAGCA
rnacentral:lncRNA from 1 species